ensembl:lncRNA
AAAACUGUAUUUAAGGGUCAUGUUCAGAAUUAAAGGUGUGCAAAAAUUACUUUGUCAUCUGUUGUCUGAGAGCUUCUGUCAUAAGAGCUGUACCACCGCUGCUUGGGGAAGAGAUCUGCUCUCCCACAGUCACUGCCAGAAGCCCUCCUGCACCCUCACCGGAUAGUCAUCUCCUGUUGGCUAAGUCUGGCCUGAAGAAGAGGUAGAACAACACCUGUUCGAGCUCUCCUUUCUCCUGGACCCGAGAACCCAACUGACCAGAGAUCUCCACGGAAAACUUCCAGCACAGAGGCCCACAGACAACCACCAGACUUUGGAAAUCAGAAACGCUUAUCUGUAUUCCCACAUCAUGUGAUAUAUAAAACAUUGAGAUUUAAUGGGAAUUUUUAUACUGCUUCAUCAAGAACACUUUUUGAGUGAAAUUGUUUUUUCUUACAUCUUUUUUUUCCCUCUACACUUGAGUGGUGGUACAGAAUACAUUCACCAUUGGUCCUUUCUGAUUUACAACCUUGUUAUGUCCUGAGGGACAACCAGCUUAAUCCACCAUUGCAUUUGCAAUGCAUUUUCAAAGUGCAAGUCACAAAGAUCAAGCUGAAACAGCUAAGGAAGUAGGACAGGAAUUGAGUUCUGGGGCCUGGGAACAUGAACUCGGUUUCUUGAUCCUGCCAGACAAGUGGAAUUUCUUCCUGCGAUGGCUGAACUCAGGAAACAGUCUCCUAACAGCAAGCUACCCGAAAUGCAGGGACAAAAAAUGGAGCAGAGACUGAAGAAAAGGCCAUCCAGAGACUGUCCCACCUGGGGAUCCGUCCCAUUUGCAGACACCAAACCCUGACACUAUUGCUGAUGCCAAGAUGUGCUUGCAGAUGGGAGCCUAGUAUGGAUGUCCUCUGAGAGACUCUUGACAGCACCUGACUAAGACAGAUGCAGAUACUCACAGCCAACUAUCAGACUGAGCAUGGGGACCCCAAUGGAGGAGUUAAGGAAAGGACUGAAAGAGCUGAGGGUGUUUGCAACUCAUUGGAAGAACAAUAUCAACCAACCAGACACCUCAGAGCUCCCAGGGACUAAAUCACCAACCGAAGAGUACACAUGGACAGUCCCAUGGCUCCAGCCAUAGAUGUAGCAGAGAAUGGCCUUGUUGGGCAUCAGUGGGAGGAGAGGCCCUUGGUCCCAUAGAGACUUGCUGCCCCAGCGAAUGGGGAUGCUAGAAGGGUG